rnacentral:rRNA from 1 species
AGGUAUAGCCAUGCCACCUUGAACGUGCCCAAUCCCGUCUGAUCUCUGAAGCUAAGCAGGGUUGGCCUGGUUAGUACUUGGAUGGGAGACCACCUAGGAGUACCAGGUGCUGUAAGGC